rnacentral:rRNA from 1 species
CGCGUGAGGAACCUGCCUCGGAGUGGGGAAUAACACAACGAAAGCUGUGCUAAUACCGCAUGAUACAGUUGGGUCGCAUGACUCUGACUGUCAAAGAUUUAUCGCUCUGAGAUGGCCUCGCGUCUGAUUAGCUAGUUGGUGGGGUAACGGCCCACCAAGGCGACGAUCAGUAGCCGACCUGAGAGGGUGACCGGCCACAUUGGGACUGAGACACGGCCCAA